rnacentral:lncRNA from 1 species
AGAGUGAUGGCCCUCACAGCUUUGCUGUGACGUGUGCCGUCCCUGGAUUGUCCUGCGGGGAUGUCCUCCGGGUGAUGCAGCAUGAGCCUGAGCUUAUGUUUGAGACUCUCAAGCACCGCGCUGAGGAAUUUGUGCAUGAAGAAGAUGAUGAUGGCAUGGCCCAUGUUUCCUUGGCCAGUGGCCUAGCCCGUUACUUCCACAACAUGCCUUAUCUUGUGGCACCUUCCUCUUGCUGCUUGACUGCUAAUAGUGGUUACUAUUAUUGCGAUGAUGAAUCUUUUGGUGCUGCUAUUGAGUCUGCCGCUGGUGAGGAUGAGCAGUGGACUGCCUACUGUGUUGCUUGAGUUUGUACUAGUCCCUAUUGUAGCAUCUCCAUUUUAAGCAUUUCAGUCCGGUGGAUGGACUCUGCUCUCUAG